rnacentral:tRNA from 1 species
GGGUAGUUAGCUCAGUCGGUAGAGCAGUUGGCUUUUAACUAAUUGGUCACAGGUUCGAAUCCUGUACUACCCA